UGUAUUGGUAUAUCCAAAUGAGGCACUCUGGGUCACCUGUGCAUACGUUCCCAUAGAUAAUUGGAACAAUAAUUUAUUCAGUUU